rnacentral:rRNA from 1 species
UACGUAGGGGCAAGCGUUGUCCGGAUUUAUUGGGCGUAAAGCGCUCGCAGGCGGCCUGAUGCGUCGUGCGUGAACACCCGGCUCAACUGGGGGGUCGUGCGAUACGGUCAGGCUCGAGGCCAGUAGGGGACGCGGAAUUCCGGGUGUAGUGGUGGAAUGCGUAGAGAAUCCGGAGGAACACCAGCGGCGAAGGCGGAGCGGCCUGG